UGUUUUCUAAAAUUACGGUGUCUUACCGUAAAUGCACACGUGAUCGGUGGGAGAGGGGGAACCAAAGGCUAGCUGACGCAUGGAGGAGCAUGGUUUCAGUCAAAGUUUUAUGGAUUUCAUCUCAAGUUGAGGCUCAUUUACAGGAACAUGAAGAUGGACUGGUUUCACAUGCAGAUGUUGCAGCAUCUGCAUCUGAGGUUGAGAAGACACUCAAUCUACCUGCCAAUCCUCAUGCUGGGUUAGUGUGUCAUUGCACAUGAUGAAGAAGAAACAUUUACUUAUGGCUGAGAUCUAAAAUUGUUAACAUUGCUGUUGUGCACAAUUGUUAAAAUUGCUUCUUUUUUUUCUUUUUUUUUUGUGAGUGUCCAGUCAACAUUUUUGACUGCAGUUGCAAGUGUUUGCUGUGCACUACAUCUUCAACCUGCAGUAUCAAGAGGCGGCUUGUUGCACGUUAGAGUUUUUUCAAAGAUGAUUCUAUGGAAUAAACCCAGAAAGAGGCUCAAAGACCUGCCGAGGCAAGGUAGUC